UACGUAGGGGGCGAGCGUUGUCCGGAUUUAUUGGGCGUAAAGAGCUCGUAGGCGGUUUGGUAAGUCAGGUGUGAAAUCUCCACGCUCAACGUGGAGGGGCCACCUGAUACUGCCAUGACUGGAGUCCGGUAGAGGAGUGUGGAAUUCCCGGUGUAGCGGUGAAAUGCGCAGAUAUCGGGAGGAACAUCAGUUGCGAAGGCGGCUCUCUGGACCAGCACUGACACUGAGGCACGAAAGCGUGGGGAGCAAACAGG
rnacentral:rRNA from 1 species